GAAGAGGGCCAGGUAGCGGCGGCGGGCUACGGGCGGCGGCCCGGCAUGGGGACGACGCCAGCCGCGAACGAAGGACGCACUCUCUGCAUGGCCCAUGUCCCGUGACCACGUUUGGACCAAAGACCUGUGUGCUGCAGAACCCCCAGACCAUCAUGCAUAUUCAGGACCCUGCAAGCCAGCGGUUGACGUGGAACAAGCCCCCGAAGAGCAUCCUUGUCAUCAAGAAGAUAUGCUACACCUGCCUGCUGCAGCUCUUCAAGGAGUUCUGCAUGUACCUGGUGCAGGCAAGUGAGGCAGGGGCUGGGAGCCCCGUGCACUUUGUCCCACUGAGGGCACACCCAGCCUGGCAGCAGCUUAUU